GAUGAACGCUGGCGGCGUGCCUAAUACAUGCAAGUCGAGCGAACGGACGAGAAGCUUGCUUCUCUGAUGUUAGCGGCGGACGGGUGAGUAACACGUGGAUAACCUACCUAUAAGACUGGGAUAACUUCGGGAAACCGGAGCUAAUACCGGAUAAUAUUUUGAACCGCAUUGUUCAAAAGUGAAAGACGGUCUUGCUGUCACUUAUAGAUGGAUCCGCGCUGCAUUAGCUAGUUGGUAAGGUAACGGCUUACCAAGGCAACGAUGCAUAGCCGACCUGAGAGGGUGAUCGGCCACACUGGAACUGAGACACGUUCCAGACUCCUACGGGAGGCAGCAGUAGGGAAUCUUCCGCAAUGGGCGAAAGCCUGACGGAGCAACGCCGCGUGAGUGAUGAAGGUCUUCGGAUCGUAAAACUCUGUUAUUAGGGAAGAACAUAUGUGUAAGUAACUGUGCACAUAUUGACGGUACCUAAUCAGAAAGCCACGGCUAACUACGUG
rnacentral:rRNA from 1 species